rnacentral:rRNA from 1 species
GAUGAACGCUGGCGGCGUGCCUAAUACAUGCAAGUAGAACGCUGAAGGAAGGAGCUUGCUCUUUCCGGAUGAGUUGCGAACGGGUGAGUAACGCGUAGGUAACCUGCCUGGUAGCGGGGGAUAACUAUUGGAAACGAUAGCUAAUACCGCAUAACAGUAGAUGUUGCAUGAUAUCUACUUAAAAGGUGCAAUUGCACCACUACCAGAUGGACCUGCGUUGUAUUAGCUAGUUGGUGAGGUAACGGCUCACCAAGGCGACGAUACAUAGCCGACCUGAGAGGGUGCUCGGCCACACUGGGACUGAGACACGGCCCAGACUCCUACGGGAGGCAGCAGUAGGGAAUCUUCGGCAAUGGACGGAAGUCUGACCGAGCAACGCCGCGUGAGUGAAGAAGGUUUUCGGAUCGUAAAGCUCUGUUGUAAGAGAAGAACGAGAGUGAGAGUGGAAAGUUCACACUGUGACGGUAUCUUACCAGAAAGGGACGGCUAACUACGUG